UACGUAGGGUGCAAGCGUUGUCCGGAAUUAUUGGGCGUAAAGAGCUCGUAGGCGGUCUGUCGCGUCUGCUGUGAAAACUCGGGGCUUAACCCCGGGCCUGCAGUGGGUACGGGCAGACUAGAGUGCGGUAGGGGAGACUGGAAUUCCUGGUGUAGCGGUGAAAUGCACAGAUAUCAGGAGGAACACCGAUGGCGAAGGCAGCUUACUGGGCCGAUACUGACGCUGAGGAGCGAAAGCGUGGGGAGCGAACAGG
rnacentral:rRNA from 1 species